UGGAAGGAGAAGCACAAGAAUCAGUCUUUACCCAGGCAAGAGUUUGACUGUCAGCUACAGCCUUUGCAGAGAUGAAGUUUAAACACCAAGCCCCAGGAAAUGUCAAGCCUCUGUCAGCAGCAGGAGCACAUCCAAGACUGGCACUGCAGGAUGCUCCAGGUGGCAGAAGAAUGCUAAGACAUGGAUAUGAAGCAUUCACCAAACAAAAAUCCCCAAGAGCAGCCAUGCUACACAGCCAUGGUGACCAGGAGCAAUGAUUCAUCUGGAAUCUGAACCGACUCAAGCAGCUCCAAGGGAAAGAUGUUUCUGGGAUUGCAGGAGAGCAGCAGGAACAGCACAGGCCCUCCAAAUCAGGCUCCUGGGGGUGGCUUCUGCCUCCUACUCCAGAUUUAGGUGUCAAGUUCUCUUGCGAAGUCCAUACCCAUCGUGCAAAUCUGCACAUGGAGGAAAGCAAAGGCAAGGGGAAGCAGGAGAAGGGCAGCCCUGCUGCACAUCUCAAGGCUAUUCCUACCCUUAAAAAAUGGCCUUCCCCAACUUCUUGGAUGUGUCUCUACAAUUUUGAUUCCAGUGAGAUACUGAAUUUUAAAACUUAGCUCAGUAAAAUCUGAUUUAAUUCUGA